UACGGGGGAAAGCAGGGGACCUUCGGGCCUUGCGCGAUUGGAUGAACCCAGGUGGGAUUAGCUAGUUGGUGAGGUAAUGGCUCACCAAGGCGACAAUCCCUAGCUGGUCUGAGAGGAUGAUCAGCCACACUGGAACUGAAACACGGUCCAAACUCCUACGGGAGGCAGCAGUGGGGAAUAUUGCACAAUGGGGGAAACCCUGAUGCACCCAUGCCGCGUGUGUGAAGAAGGCCUUCGGGUUGUAAAGCACUUUCAGCGAGGAGGAAAGGUUGGUAGCUAAUAACUGCCAGCUGUGACGUUACUCGCAAAAAAAGCACCGGCUAACUCCGUGCCAGCACCCGCGGUAAUACGGAGGGUGCAAGCGUUAAUCGGAAUUACUGGGCGUAAAGCGCACGCAGGCGGUUGGAUAAGUUAGAUGUGAAAGCCCCGGGCUCAACCUGGGAAUUGCAUUUAAAACUGUCCAGCUAGAGUCUUGUAGAGGGGGGUAGAAUUCCAGGUGUACCGGUGAAAUGCGUAUAGAUCUGGAGGAAUACCGGUGUCGAAAGCGGCGCUCUGUACCAAAACUGUCGCUCAUGUGCGUACAGCUUGUGGAGCAGAGAGCAUCAUAACACCAUGGUAUUCCACCCAGAUCUCACGUCU
rnacentral:rRNA from 1 species